AAAAUUUUCAGAAAAAUGUGCAUUGUGGCACCCAAGGACCUCACCAUUCAAUAUGACACAUCAGCAACAAUAAGCAAAAAAUUUGGUGAUGGCGAAAAUUUCAUAAAUUUUAAAAUUUGGGGACUGUAUUUUUGGAUUUGGAAAUGUGGGAAGCAAAAUCUUACAUAAAUUAGCAAAAAGAAGGGGACCAAAAGUUUAUUUAAGCAAACAAAUAAAGAAGGUAAUAGAAGGAUAAAAUGUCGGUGCCUUCUAUUUUCAGUCUAAAAGACAAAAGUUACAUCAUAGUUUGGGUGGGUUAAGCAAUCUUUUCGAUGUUAACAUUAUAGCAAGUUAAAACAAACUCUACUUUUUUGUCUGAAUUUUCUAUAUGAACUCAACUUCCCUGUUUUACAUAUAUGAGGAAACAAAGGAAAGCUAAUUUAGUAGUUCAAUUGUAAAAAACAUUUCUAUUUCCUUCCUCUUUUGUAUUUAUAGGGCAACAAAUCCAGAAUCAUAAAUUAUGGGUAUCUCGAAGACGCUUCUUAUAGUAGCAAAAACCCAGACCAUUAGCUAUCAAGAAGUUAGUCAAGUAAGUUCUAUUUCCUGUCCUGUUUCUUAGUCCAGGUUUUAAGGGUCAUUUACUGUUAUAUAUUCUUACUUUGUACUUAUUCGUGGCAAUCUACUAGUGCAUAACUUGUAAAGAUUGUAGAGGAAGAAACAGAAAACCUAGAAAAUUCAUAUAGUCCUGCCAAAUGCUACAUCCGCAAAUAUGUUCUUUUCUUUUUUUUGGAGAGGAAAUAUGUUCUUAAUUACAUGAAAUAUGUUAAUGUUUAUGUAAUUAAUUAAUUUAACUCAUGAUGCAACCGACUUGAUGCUUUCAUGAUUAUGAAUUGUGAAGAACUAAUUGAAUGAAGAUUCUGUUUCUUUUCUUGUUUGUUGCAAUUUCUUCAUUAUACAAUUUAUACACAUGAGUUGGAUUAGAUAUACUGAUUUAGAUGCAUUUGAUAGAAUAUUAUCGACACGUACUAAUUUGCAACAAUGUAUAGGUAAACCGUAAACCUGUACUAUUGGUAUACUUUUCAAUCCUUUGUUAUUUGAACCAAAACACAAGAUAUCCACUACAUUUACAAAAAUGUGAAAACUGCAUUUGCACUUCCUAAUAAUUCACUCUUUGCUCAUUCAUUCUUGUGCAUCUAAGCUUUGUUGAUCCACACAUCAUACUUCUCAAUCAAGAAUUCACAUAAAGAUGUUUAUCAAAGAAUACUGUAGGAAAACAAACCAGUCUUUUUAACAGUUGAUUCCGCAUAGCUUGGUAUCAGGUCCCUUAGUUUUCAUCACGAAUGGGUCAAUUCUUACCCAUAACAAAGAGAAAAUGGAAGCCAACAACACUGACCAUAUCACAACAAUGGUGGGGGUGCGGUUUUGCCGACCCAUCAAACCUUUAAGGAAUGGAUAUAGAUGGACAAUCACCCAGAAGGAAAAGAAGAGUUUUCCAAAUAGAGGUCCCCAUGAUUGGUAACCAUUGUUUAUGGCGUCUGAGAUUCCAGCAACAACCCCAACAAUAUUGAUUAUUAAGAUAGUCGUUGGAGGAAUUAGGAGAGUGGUCCACUUGAUGGCGUACAAUUCUCCAAAUUCCUCAUCAUCUGUUGCCUUGGAUGUAACAGUGAAGUUUGUGUCAAUUCCAGCAAGAACUUUCAGAAGCCCUUGUAUGACAGCAAAGAGAUGUGCUGAUACACCACCAAUGACCCAGAAUUGCUCAUUUCUCCACCAUUCCUCAAUGCUGACUCCACUCCAUUUCAACUCAAGAAUGCCCGUUGCCAUGAUUGAAGAGAAGAGAGCAACAAAGUACAAACUAGCAAAAGUGCUUAUCUGAAGAAUGAACAAUUAAAAAAAAAAUUGAGUAAAAAGGCUUGGCAUGAAUUCUCUGAGCAUCCUUGAACAAUGAUGCCUAGCAUUUCUAGCUGUUAUGGAUUUAAAAGUUGAAUUCCUACUACAUACAUAAAAAGAUCGUGAUCAUUCUUGUGCUUUUGAAGGUAAUAUAAUGAAAUAUUGUAAUGUUUGUCAAAAAAUUAUAAUUUCAAAAGCUCGUCGUGUCUUAACUCAUUUUCUAACAGGAAGAUAAAAGAAUAAAAAUGUUACCGGUGGCAUGAUGAAUUUGUCAGUGAGUAAGCAGACAGCUGGAAGAAUACAGUAGGCAACUAGAGGUAUGGAGGUGAAGGGGUACACGGUUGUGUUUGCAUAGGCAAAUCGCUCCAGCCACUUCAGCUUCCCUUCCUUGUGGCCAUACCAUAAAGGGCAAUGAUGACUGAAGAAGAUCUCAAUGGAGCCAAGAGCCCAACGAAGCACCUGGUUGAGUCUAUCUGACAAGUUGAUAGGAGCAGUACCCUUGAAUGCUACUCUCUUUGGCAUACAGUAAAUGGAUCUCCAACCACGGCAAUGCAUCUUAAAGCCUGUUAAAAUAUCCUCUGUAAUAGAUCCAUAAAUCCAACCAAGCUGCAAUUUGGAAAACAAAAUAAUGGAUGAGCUGAUUUUCUUAUUGUGAACAACUAUUGUAAAAUAUCAAUUGAGAGCCUAGGCUGCCAAUGUUGGUGUUACCUCAAUCCCCCAUUCAGUUUUAUCUUCAUAUCCGCAACUGAUUACAUGAAUGGCUUCUUUAAGUUGGCUUGCUGGACUUGACGAAGGAGGUACACCACCCUCUUCCAUCAAGACUGAAGUCACAAAAAUCGAUGACUGCCCAAAUUUCUUCUCAAAAUUCAUCUGGGACAUCAGUAACUCUUUGUCAUCUUCCAUUCCUAUAUGGACAUGUGACAGAGAUUAGAACAGGUGAACAUGAAAUCAAUUUGUAUAAGGAUUUAGUAUCAAGAUUGCUGACUAUUUGUAAAAUUAGAACCUCUUAGGCCUGCAGCUUCUCCAUUUGCGUCGUUCAUUGCAUGCUUAACCUUCUUGCGCCUUCCAAAACAUGGGCAGCAAUCACAACUUACCAUUUUUGGACGCUUGGGACCCUUAGGAGGAUUAUAUCCAUAUAAAGCCUGCCUUCUAAAAACACACCCUGUGCCGACAUACACAGGACCCUGAAUACCAUCUAGACCCUUCAUGUUAAUCUGCCAUGACAGAAACAAGAGGAAUUGGUAAUAUAUAUUAGCUUGCACUACUACAAAAACAUCAAUUGCUUCAAAGAAGAUCAUGUCGUGUUGAUGUUGACUUUCUUGCAGUGACUUACAUCAAAGAAAACUGUGUUCCUAUUAGCAUAUCGAUCAUGCGCAUCAAUGCCAUCGAAUCUUUGAGGAAACUGGACAUAGCAGACUUUCUUCCCUGUUUGGGGGUCCAUCAAGAAGCACAUGGCCUCUCGGACAGCCUUGCUGUUAUUGAUAUAAUGAUCACAAUCCAAGUUCAGCAUAAAAGGAGCAUUUGUAAGCACUGCAGAGACCCGUACCUGGAAGUUACAUAAAUUAUUAGAUGAGUCAAGUAAGUGUGGUUCAGAAAGGUGAAUGGACAUCAUAAAAAUAACAAAAUCUGUUUGUUCAAGUAACUCUACCAGAGCAUUCAUGGCACCGGCUUUCUUGUGGUGUUGAAAUCCUGGCCUUUUCUCUCUAGAUACAUAAACAAGGCGAGGAAGCUGGUUUCCUUCACUAUCAUGACCUCCACUGUGACCAAGAAAGACUUGAAUCAUACCAGGAUGAUCCUUAGUAUUGUUUCCUGGCCAUGGUGUCCCAUCCUGCAUAAUCCACCCUCCUGCAGGAACCUUCUGAGCUUUUGCCACAAGUGCAUUGAUCCUAACCUUAAACUCUUCAUAUUCUCUCUGCCAUGCAUCCAAUUAAUAGUCGGUGAGUAAGCUUUAAACUGAUUUCAGAACUUCAUUUUUUUUCAACAAUUCUAAUAGAUUAAUACAAACCUUCAUGGACCGACGUUCUUUGACAAAAGUUGGCUGCACCUUGUCCUUUAGAUAGUCAAUUUUCUCAGAGAAGUACAUCUCUGGUGCACGAGGUUCUAUCAAAAAUUUCUUACAAAAUGGUACCCACUUCCUAGCAAACUCUGCCGUUUCCGACAGGGCUUCAAAUGUACACAUUGAAGCUCCGUCAUCAGAAAUGUAGCAUGAUAUCUUAUCAAUGGGGUAGUCCAUUGCCAAGAUUGAAAGAACUGUGUUGGCUGUAUUCAGAGGAGGUUCCUUCAAGGGAUCCACAGUACUAACAAACACAUCUACAGGAGCAAGCAUAUUGGGUUCGCCUUCACGCUCAUACCUGAUAAACAACUUUCUUUGUUCAGAGAUAUAAAUAUUUAAACACUGGUAUUUCAACAAUCAGGAGGGAAGGUCCCUUUACCUGAGUGAAAGACGGUCAAGGUAUGUUUCUCUAUCAAUAGGAUACCAUUUGGGGAACUGAUCAAGGAUCCAUGAUAUAGCAAACCAGAUUUCACAUAUAAUUGAAGUUAGCCAUAGCCCCAUUGCAUCAUGUACUGGAUUCAUAAGUCUGUAUCGGAGGAAGAAGCCAAGAAUAACAAGCCGUGCCACGAUCACCAUCCUAUAUGGAUUGAUUUUGCUAGAUGCUAUUGGUACCUUCCUUGACAGUGGUUGUCUUGCUUCAUCUGACCUGCAUCGGUUCACAUUGUAUAGUAGUAACUAACAUUAAUAUUAAUUAUGAUCUUUCAAAUAUUACUAUCAUUUCAUUAGAAUUAAAUUGUCAGGAAAUGCAUUUAGUACUGAAAAGCAUACAUGUUUGCAUCUAGAUCUUCAUCAGGUUCAGGUCCCAAAUUUCCUUGCUGCAAUUUCCAGUCAUCCAUUCUAUCAUAUGAUCCAUCUUCUCUCCUUUCAUCCCACCCUGCACUUCCUGUUUUUAUCACAGCAUGCCACAUAUUAUAAUCAUAUCCACCAUGUUGUAGUAAGCUAAGAAAAGCAUUUCAGGGUUGUAUUUUAAUCAGUGCCAAAAGAAAGGCCUGUAUAACUAGUAUAAGAUUUGGACUUUAGCAAGAAAUUAAACCAAUUUUGGCAUAAUCCGUUUUGCAAAUGAACCAAGAAAGUGAUAAAUCUAUAAACUACAUCUUACGAGAAUCAGAAGCGGAAUAUGGAUGCACUCUUUUAUGCAGUGAAGAUAGCAUCUGCUCCCCAUAACUAUGAGAUGAUAUUGGGAACUCACCACUCACCUGCAUGCAUGUAAAAAGCAAAUUUAGUUGUAUUGAAUUACAAGUUCUAUCGAGUUUAAGAUGGACUAGAAAUGGUGAAAUUCUUACAUUCCGAGAGCGACCACCAGCAAUAACAGCUGGGAAGUGUGCAUUUUCAUCAUCUUCAGGACCUCUUCCAUAGCUCAUCUUCCCAUGCAGCAUGGCCUCAGCAGAAUGAUCAUGAUUGUUCAUUUUGUCUUCAAUUUUGAAUUCAUGUUCAAUAUCGUCCACAUCCUCCUCAUCAUCGUCUCCCUCAACCCGAGGGCUCCCUAAACAUCAUUAGUUAUAUGCAUUUGAGUUAAUCGAUCAAAUUAAUAUCACAGUCAUCUAAAACUGUAUCAUGUAAGGUUCAUGUUUUAACAAGUUUAAUGCAUGUAAACAAAGGCUAAAAAUAACUUGUUCAGUAUAUAAUUCUACCUUUGAGACGCUUGUAUCUGGUCUUGCACUGAGGACAAAGUUGUCUCCCCUCCCUUCUUUCAUACUCAUAGCAAGGCCGGCACACCGGAAAACCACACUCGUUACAUGCCACAAACAAAUCUCCAUCCACAGUAAGUCCAACAUCAUCACCACAUAUCUCGCACACUUGACCGUCCAAGUUCUUCAAUGGCUUGUGCUGCACCAAAACAACACAACAAAACUAUCAACAUAAAAACAAACAAACAAAUAUCUCUAGCCACUCACUUGUGGUUAUAAGUUUAUUAUUACCUCUUCAUGGCCAUGAAUGACAACAAGCUCGUUCCGGUUGUGAGAACCAGCGACUAGUCCGGCGCUGGCUUCCAUAUCUUGUUGGUGACAGGUGAAAAUGGCACAAUGAGGUGGUGAGGUUGAGAACAAGUUAGUGUUUUAUGUAUGAAAAUUUUGGUGCUUUGAAAGACUUAGGUGUCCUCACACCUAAUAUGUGUCCACAUAAGUGUUGCUGGUGUUGGUUGCAGGGUCCCCAUUGCCUUGAAGCUAAGCUUUCUUCCUUUUUAUUCAACAACCAUCUCCUUCUAUGCCAUCUCCAACAACGACUAAUUCCUUUUUUGGUUUCUUCUAUUUAUUUUUCUAUCUUUCAAAAUUGUAUUACUAUAGGCGCAAAAAGAGACAAGGUUGGUUUUUGAAUAUUAUUUCCUUUUGCAUAGUUAUUUUAUGGUUGUUAACACAUCAAAAUAAAUAUUGCAAGCAAGCGAAACAAGUAAGCAAUGGAGUGUCAGAGUGCCAAACCAAACGUAUUGAUUACAUGACUAUUAACGUGAAAGGGAAUAAUUUUUGUACCAGAUAUAUAUCAAAAUGUCACCAUACAUCAAGUAAUAAUUUUUUUAAGAAAAACACCUUAUCAAAAAAUCAUAAUUAAAAAGUACGAUAAAUUUUAUAAAAAUUAUUUGAACAUUAUUUUGAUGUUUUCAUUGGUUAUUUUUUUUUGUGUGAAUUGAGUAUCUUUUGCAUACAACUAGACUAUUCACUCAAGGCGACAAGAUCUGCAAUGAGUG
rnacentral:lncRNA from 1 species